rnacentral:rRNA from 1 species
GCAAGUCGAACGGUAACAGGAAAGAGCUUGCUUUUUCGCUGACGAGUGGCGCACGGGUGCGUAACGCGUAUACAAUCUACCUUUUACAGGGGGAUAGCCUUUAGAAAUGAAGAAUAAUACCCCAUAGUAAGUAGUUUUCGCAUGUUAACUACUUUAAAGAUUUAUCGGUAAAAGAUGAGUAUGCGUUCUAUUAGCUAGAUGGUGUGGUAACGGCACACCAUGGCAACGAUAGAUAGGGGCCCUGAGAGGGGGAUC